UCAGAUGAAAAAACACGCCUAAAUCCCUAGACACCGAUACAGACACAAGAACGACGCAACCCCAAGGCUCUCAGUUUCUGUCUUCUUCUUCUUCAUUUCUCCACUGAAAACAAAGAUCGCACUCUCACCUUUCCAAAAAUGCAGCAGCGGCGCAAGAGAGGGCGGAAAAACGGAAAAAUCAGCAGCAGCUCACAAAUCUCUCUCCAUAGAAGAGCUGACUGUCGUCCCUUAUUCUUCUCUGUCUUCUUCACUCUCAUUUCUCACCUUCACCCACACCCAUUCAUAUACACCUACACAUAUCUGGAAAAGAAGGGACCCUUUUAAAUUUCAAAAAAAAAUCAAAUCUAAAAAAAAGGCUUCGAAAAACUAAAGAAAAACGGAGAUUUCAAUGGAGGUUUGAGUUGAUUUCUGGGAUCCCGGGCAAUUUAGAGCUCGAGACUGAAGCUGUGUAUUGAUUUCUGCUGUUGAAUCGGCUGUUUGGUGGCUGAACUCAGACCAUCAUUUUGGUCCAUUUCUUUGAUGUUGUUCUGCUUGUAGUUGUCCUGAAGUAUUUAUGGAAGUUGAUUCAAGUCUAAUAGUGGCCUUUACUCUGCAUUUUAGCUGUCCUGAAGAAUUUAUGGAAGUUGAUUCAAGUCAAAUAGUGGCCUUUACUCUGCAUUUUAGCUGUCCUGAAGAAUUUAUGGAAGUUGAUUCAAGUCAAAUAGUGGCCUUUACUCUGCAUUUUAGCCUGAUCCUCAUGUGGCCAUGUUUGGUUUGGAAGAAGUUCAGUUUAGCGAUUUCAGGAUGGAGGAUUCUGCGAUUUCAUUGUCCUAUUAAUUGGAAACAAUUGUUCAUUAGUUUGCUAUCAAAAUUUGGAGAUCAGGCUGGGGAUUGAUGCUUGUAGGUUAUAUGCAGAUUUGAAGUUAAAAGUCCUCUGCUAGUUUAAAUACCUCACCUAGUUUGAUUCAGCAUACAAAAUAUAAUUAAAACAACUUUUUCUGUCAAAAUUAGUUCAUUUCCUUCUAAUGCAUUUUCUGAACUUGGAUAACAUGAGUUUGAGUUUAAUUGUUGGGUUAUUUUAUUCCUUUGUGAUGAUGUAUUCUAUAAUCAACAAUAUAGCUAUUUGGGUGGCUAUUCGUGUAAAUUACAAAUGUUUAAAAUGAUAGAAGCUCAUUGUUCAAUCA